rnacentral:misc_RNA from 1 species
GGCGAUGGUGGCAAGGGUGGUGACAAAGGUGGUUCUCGGAGUUUCAAGGCCAUGUUGGCGGGAUUCAUCGGGGUACUUGUAGAGGCGUUCAAAAAGAUUGGUUGCGAGGAUUGUGAUAAGUUUCUUCCCUUGGCAGAAAAAGCGUCAACCAGAGCAACUCCAGUUAAGAUAGACUGAUAGAGACUGCUGACCAUAUGUAGAUUUCAGUACUGUUAUACACCUAAUGUUGACAAACUAG